UGGGGAAUAUUGCGCAAUGGGCGAAAGCCUGACGCAGCGACGCCGCGUGAGGGAUAAAGGUUUUCGGAUCGUAAACCUCUGUCAGAAGGGAAGAAACCGCACUGUGCUAAUCAGCAGUGCCUUGACGGUACCUUCAAAGGAAGCACCGGCUAACUCCGUGCCAGCAGCCGCGGUAAUACGGAGGGUGCAAGCGUUAAUCGGAAUUACUGGGCGUAAAGCGCACGUAGGCUGCUUUGUAAGUCAGGGGUGAAAUCCCACGGCUCAACCGUGGAACUGCCUUUGAUACUGCUUAGCUUGAAUCCGGGAGAGGGUGGCGGAAUUCCAGGUGUAGGAGUGAAAUCCGUAGAUAUCUGGAGGAACAUCAGUGGCGAAGGCGGCCACCUGGACCGGUAUUGACGCUGAGGUGCGAAAGCGUGGGGAGCAAACAGG
rnacentral:rRNA from 1 species